GCAACAUUUUGUGAUGACGUCACAACAGCUGUAGGUACGUGCCAUUUUUCGCCAUUUUAUGCGCUGUGUUUUGUGGUACUUCUGCUGUCAAGUAGCUGUUUAUGAGAUCGUAUUUUGUGUUUUGCGGAUAAAUUACGAGGAUUUGAUUUGCUAAAUCGAAGUUGAAGUUGAAAAAAGUGUUAUUCAACAUGUCCGUGUAUUGUAUUGUACAGUGUGGUGCCAGAAAGGACAGAAAUCAACCGUAUUUGUCACUUCAUAGGCCAUCUUUCAAUCCAAAAUUGUCGACUGGAUUUACUGAAACAGGUGAUAUUGGAAAACUAAUCCACAGCUGCAACGUCGUCUGUGCUGCCAUUGCCCGUACGUCUGUCUCAUAAGUCAGUACAUGAAAAGUCUGUUCAAGAAGACGCGAUGAAAAAAUUAAAAGAUAGCCAAUUUGAAGAAUAUUAUGGAAGAUCUGCAGAAUAAAAAUCAAAUAAUAAAGGGCAAAGUGUAUUGAUGGAAGAAUUGGCAGGACCGCAAGACUUUUUGAAAAGGCAGGUAAACAAAUUUCAAGGUUUACCUUUGCCAAAGAAGUAUUCCCAAGAAAUAAGAAAGUUUGCUUUAACUUUACAUUUUCUUUCUCCGAAAGCGUAUAAUAAUUAUAUAUGCAAUGUGACAGGGUAUCACAAAGACA
rnacentral:lncRNA from 1 species